CCUACGGGCGGCUGCAGUGGGGAAUAUUGCACAAUGGGGGAAAGCCUGAUGCAGCCAUGCCGCGUGUGUGAAGAAGGCCUUCGGGUUGUAAAGCACUUUCAGCGAGGAGGAAAGGUUGACGCCUAGUCCGUGUCAACUGUGACGUUAAUCGCAGAAAAAGCACCGGCUAACUCCGUGCCAGCAGCCGCGGUAAUACGGAGGGUGCAAGCGUUAAUCGGAAUUAUUGGGCGUAAAGCGCGCGCAGGCGGUUGGAUAAGUUAGAUGUGAAAGCCCCGGGCUCAACCUGGGAAUUGCAUUUAAAACUGUCCAGCUAGAGUCCUGUAGAGGGGGGUAGAAUUCCAGGUGUAGCGGUGAAAUGCGUAGAGAUCUGGAGGAAUACCGGUGGCGAAGGCGGCUCCCUGGACAAAGACUGACGCUCAGGUGCGAAAGCGUGGGGAGCAAACAGGAUUAGAUACCCGAGUAGUC
rnacentral:rRNA from 1 species